GUUUAAUACAUCUGUAGGAGAAUUGACUUGUUUAGGGCAGAAAGCCUAUAAUAACGAUACAAAGGAUACUAUUUGGUGGUCAGCUUCAAAUGUCUCGGAACCUACUAAACAAUUUGCCAAUUACACUAAUUUGAAAGAGGUAUGGUUUGAUUUAUCUGCUACAUCCAAUUGGAGAGCCCCAGCAAAAUUGUACUGGAUUUGUGGUAAGAAGGCAUAUUCGGAGUUACCACAAGACUGGGAAGGGGCAUGUGUACUAGGUAUGCUCAAACCAUCCUUCUUCUUGUUGCCAAUUGAAACAGGAGAG